CACCGCGGUUAUACGAGAGACCCAAAUUGACAGUACCCGGCAUAAAGUGUGGUUAAGAAACAAACACAAUAAGGCCGAACUCUUUCAAGGCUGUUAUACGCAACCGAAAUAAAGAAGAUCAACAACGAAAGUGACCUUAGCCCAAUCUGAACCCACGAAAGCUAGGAAA
rnacentral:rRNA from 1 species